UAUCUCUGUAGAGUCUGCAUAUCAAUAAGCGGAGGAAAAGAAACUAACAAGGAUUCCCUUAGUAACGGCGAGUGGAGCGGGAAGAGCUCAAAUUUGAAAUCUUAAAGGUUUUCCCUUGACGAAUUGUAGUUUAAAGAAGUGUUUUCUGUUGAAGUUUCGGUAAAAGUUCUUUGGAAUAGGACAUCAUAGAGGGUGAGAAUCCCGUAUUUGAGCCGUUACUUUCCAGCUGUGUGAUACACUUUCAAAGAGUCGGAUUGUUUGGGAAUGCAGUCCAAGAUGGGUGGUAAAUUUCAUCUAAAGCUAAAUAUUGGCGAGAGACCGAUAGCGAACAAGUACCGUGAGGGAAAGAUGAAAAGAACUUUGAAAAGAGAGUUAAACAGUACGUGAAAUUGUCAAAAGGGAAGCGUUUGACACCAGUGUUGUUUAGUUGAAAAUCAAUUCAAUAGUUUUUGAUUCUAAGUAGUAUUGACUUCAUCAGCUUGCUGCUUUCUUCUCAGAAAUUAUUGAAUGCACUUUUCAGUUAACAAGUCAACAUCAAUUUCUUUUGUUGUAAAAGGGUAAGAGGAAGGUGGCUUGCGCUUCGGCUCAAGUGUUUAUAGCCUUUUAUCUCUGCAAUCGGAGAGAUUGAGGUCUGCAGCGUAGAUCCUUCGGGGUUAGAUACAUUGGUGCUAAGCUAUAGCCUUGUAUAGACAACUUGUUGACUAUGCUCAGUCAUGUAGCUUACUCGCUGAUGCUAUUUUACCUACGCUUAGGAUGUUGAACGCGCACAGAGUCUC
rnacentral:rRNA from 1 species